rnacentral:rRNA from 1 species
UUUACGGGAGGCAGCAGUGGGGAAUAUUGCGCAAUGGGGGAAACCCUGAUGCAGCGACGCCGCGUGAGUGAAGAAGUAUUUCGGUAUUAAAGCUCUAUCAGCAGGGAAGAAAAAAGACGGUAC